rnacentral:pre_miRNA from 1 species
AGUGAAAUUGGUGGGUUGUAUGUUAGUUCUCUUUUUAAUUUUUUGAGGAAUCUCUGAACUGUUUUCCCUAAUGGCUGUACUAAUUUAUAUGCCCACCAGCAAU